rnacentral:rRNA from 1 species
AUACGGAGGAUCCGAGCGUUAUCCGGAUUUACUGGGUUUAAAGGGUGCGUAGGACGGCUCCCUCAGUCAGCGGUGAAAUGUAUCGGCUCAACCGAUAACCUGCCGUUGAUACUGGGGAGCUUGAGUUGGGUUGAGGCAGGCGGAAUGUGCGGUGUAGCGGUGAAAUGCUUAGAUAUCGCACAGAACGCCGAUUGCGUAGGCAGCUUGCCAAGCCCACACUGACGCUGAGGCACGAAAGCGUGGGGAUC